rnacentral:rRNA from 1 species
GGGGAAUAUUGCGCAAUGGGCGAAAGCCUGACGCAGCCACGCCGCGUGAGCGAUGAAGGUCUUCGGAUCGUAAAGCUCUGUGGGGAGAGACGAAGAAAGCCGGUGAAGAGCCGGCCUUGACGGUAUCUCCUUAGCAAGCACCGGCUAACUCCGUGCCAGCAGCCGCGGUAAUACGGAGGGUGCAAACGUUGCUCGGAAUCAUUGGGCGUAAAGCGCACGUAGGCGGCGGCGUAAGCGGGAUGUGAAAGCCCAGGGCUCAACCUUGGAAGUGCAUCCCGAACUGCGUCGCUUGAAUCUCGGAGGGGGACAGAGAAUUCCCGGUGUAGAGGUGAAAUUCGUAGAUAUCGGGAGGAAUACCAGUGGCGAAGGCGCGGUCCUGGACGAAGAUUGACGCUGAGGUGCGAAAGCGUGGGGAGCAAAC